rnacentral:rRNA from 1 species
ACCAGACUCCUACGGGAGGCAGCAGUGGGGAAUAUUGCACAAUGGGGGAAACCCUGAUGCAGCGACGCCGCGUGAGUGAAGAAGUAUUUCGGUAUGUAAAGCUCUAUCAGCAGGGAAGAAAAUGACGGUACCUGACCAAGAAGCCCCGGCUAACUACGUGCCAGCAGCCGCGGUAAUACGUAGGGGGCAAGCGUUAUCCGGAUUUACUGGGUGUAAAGGGAGCGUAGACGGUUGUGCAAGUCAGAAGUGAAAGCCCGGGGCUCAACUCCGGGACUGCUUUUGAAACUGUGAAACUGGAGUGCAGGAGAGGUAAGCGGAAUUCCUAGUGUAGCGGUGGAAUGCGUAGAUAUUAGGAGGAACAUCAGUGGCGAAGGCGACUUUCUGGACUGUAACUGACGCUGAGGCACGAAAGUGUGGGGAGCAAACAGGAUUAGAUACCCGGGUA